rnacentral:rRNA from 1 species
GAUGAACGCUGGCGGCGUGCCUAAUACAUGCAAGUCGAGCGAACAGAUGAGGAGCUUGCUCCUCUGACGUUAGCGGCGGACGGGUGAGUAACACGUGUAUAACCUACUUAUAAGACUGGGAUAACUUCGGGAAACCGGAGCUAAUACCGUAGAAUAUAUUGAACCGCGUGGUUCGAUAGUGAAAUACGGUUGUGCUGGCACUUAUAGAUGCAUCCGCGCCGCAUUAGCUAGUUGGUAAGUUACCGGCCUACCAAGGCAACUAGGCGUAGCCGACGUGAGAGGGUGGUCGCCCACACUGGAGGGUGGCCACGGACAAGACUCCUGCGGGAGGCACCAGUCGGGAACCUUAGGCAAUGGGGGAAAGCCUGACGGAGCAACGCCAAGUGAGUGACGAAGGUCUUGGGUUCGUAAAACUCUGUUACUAGGGAAGAACAGCUGUCGAAGUAACUGUGCACGUCUUGACGGUAACUAAUCAGAAAGCACCGGCUAACUACGUG